rnacentral:lncRNA from 1 species
ACGAUCUCAUCCGCAGUUCUCUCGCGCCGCUUCUCUCCUCCGUCGCCUCGCCUCGCCUCUGCCUCUCCGUCUCGCCGCUGCUAACUUCCUCACGUUGGCGCACGGCUGCUACCUCCCUCCCUGCACCGUGCAAUCCCAUUGCUCUCCACGCGUAAAGCCAAACCAGGAGGAUCGGAGCGACCUGUAGCCAUUGACCUGCUCCGGUGAACGCCGACGGGGCUGAGCUCCAAGUGCCCUGCUCUUCUGCCCGGCCCACAGCAUGGUAUGCAUCCUCUACCUUUCUUAUCCCAAGGUUCGACCCUCCCCCUUCCUCAGAAUACCACAUUUUUUCUGUAAGUUGGGCAAUGCACUCCAGGUGUUUGAUGAAUUGCUAACUUGCCGAGGCUUCAAGGUAAAUGGGUUUUUUCUUCUUCUCAGGAAUAGUUAACAAAUUUUCGGCCAUUCAACACCCCAACUAUUGUUGAUACUUUAUUAAUUGGCGAUUGGAUUCACUCGACACAUCUGUAGGUCCUGGGUCAGCGCUCAGCAGCCAAUCCACUUUCCCCCUCUGUUUUUACUGCAAUAGAACAUGCCGCUAAAUGAGGAGCAGUCCUCAUUUAGUAUUUGUAAAAGUUGGGGUGUAUUCCUCAUGAUCAUCCACAUACGUGCACUUUUGAAUAGAAUUAACCCAUCCUGUCCUUUCCGUCUGAGUGGCAACUCUAGUGUAACCAUAAUCAUGGUAAUCUUGCUAACAUUCUGAUACUCCGGGUAAGGACGGUGCAUGUGAGUGCUUGAUGGACUAAUACUCUGCUCGGCCUGACGCUUGUGUCCGACAGAAAACUGAAGCAAAAUGAAAUGCAGUUGAGCUAGGGCUAUUCUUCCGGUAGUGCACGGGAUAAAAAUGAUUAAAUCAACUAACGGAGCAAGGAGCAACCCUGUGUACACCUAAGCGCAGAAUGCACCCCUUCUUCUAACUACAACAACAAGACGGGACGAGAUCAGUUUUGUAUUUAACACAAGGAGAAAUAAGUAUUAAACAAAUCUUAGCAUCCUUUCAAAGGAAGGAAAACUGAAGGUAAUUAAUUUAGACAUCUUUCUAUUGGUAUAGUCCAAUGAACUCGUUUGUGCUGGCACACCGUAACAGGCUUGUUGCCAGCAUCAAAUUGACCACAGUCCACAAAUCACUUUUAAUAAAGACCAUCAGAACAUCCAACUGCCUGUAAAGAGUGUGCAUAGGUAGUCUAUUUUUACAAAAAUACAUGUUUAUUGCUAAUAAGCACACAAGCAAUGUGGAAAACAAAUAUACAAAAAACGAUGGCUUGCGAAGGCUGGAUAUCUAGCUAAUUAGUGAUAGCUGAAAAAAAAGGGAACUCUUCAUGUUGAUGCUGGUAGUUUCUCCAGCUUCACGGCAGGCUUAUUUGGAUGAGUGGCAAGAUAUCUCUCAAACUCUGUCCUGAAUUGCUCAUCAUUGGUACCCUUGAGCAAGACUUCCUUGAGUUCAGACAGAUUAUUCAGGCCGGCAAGCUGACAUGAUCCAUUUGAGUAGUCAAUCUCGAGCAGCUCAAGAUUUUUCAUCGACUUUGAUCCAAAAUUUACUUGUAAAUUGCUGGAGCCGCAACCAAUCUCAAGGAUCUUCACCUUUUCGAAUGUGGUCAACUCACAUCCAGAUAACUCAUGAAAAAAAUGGAGCUUGCCACCCUGAAGCUGCUUGACACGAAGGCGUAGAAUACACAGGUUUGGUAGCUUGGCAAGGAACUCAAUGUCAGUUUUCUCUAAAGUGGCCAUCUCCACAUCCAACUUCCUGAGCUUGCUAAGUUGGCCCUCAAUUAGAGGUAACUUGUCUUGAAGCCCAUGCAGUUUAAGACUCUGUAGGUUCUCCCAAGGCAGGGAGAUGCCAUCCAAGGAACCUUGAUUUCCUUCGGCAAGCCGCACCAACAAGGAUUCCAAAUGCACGUGACCUGAGAUUGCAGAGAAGAAGUCCUCGCUGUUAUGCCUAUUGAUGCCAGACACACCAAGCUUGCGCAAUUGGGUGAGUUUCUUGAGCUCUUUCACAAAUGCUUUUCCCCCAGAAGCAAUGACAUUGGCAACACCAAGUGUAUGCAGGGCUGUCAGUUUUCCAAUCCCUCUAGGAACCUCAACACCAAGUAGGGCACGACGUCUGCGGAACUCUAGCAAGCUGCGGGAUGGGGCAGGUGAUGUCAAUGCUGAGAUGGUAGUGCCAGCUCGGACAUACUGCAGCUUCUGUAACUUCCCGAUGUUCUUUGGCAGUCUAGCUACGGAGGUGUGUCUCACAUCCAGUGUCUGGAGCUGCCUAAGCUCACCCAGUGAACUAGGAAGAUGGGAGAUCUCACUACAUCCUCUCAAGGAGAAAAACUUGAGGCGGCGCAGCCGCUUCACCAUCUCAAUAAGAUCUUCAUCCUUUAAACCUGAUGCAUCCUCCAGAUCAAGAACCCGAAGCAACCUCAUACUUUUGGAGAUAAAGAAUGAUUCCCACUUUCCAAACACUGUGAGCGAUCGUAACCGUGAGAAGUCAAUGCUCUCAAAUACAAUUAUGUCUCUGACCCAAUUCUUCAAUAUGAUAAGGUGACGCCCUUUGCGUUCAGUGGUCAGGACACAAUUGGGCCCAAGUUCAAAGACAAGGUUCUCUUCCAUUCUUCGCGAGACGAUGUACUCGCGGAUGAAGCCAUUGACCUGGCACAUGACUAUCCUUGUGUCACUGAAUGCAGUGGUGACUAACUGUGGCAUCUGCUGGAUUAUGCUUAGAUCAAUGAGCUUGGAGAAGAAGUUCUCCCCUUUGUCCACCGCAGAUUCUUCAUCACUAUCUCUAGAGUAACCUUCUGCAAUCCACCUCCUUACUAGUCGCCUUCGUCGAAUGCCAUGGCCUCGAGGAAAAAUUGAUAGAUAGAAGAUACAUGGCUUAAUUGAAUCCGGGCAAGUACGGAAGUAAGAAUACAUCCAAUCAAAUAGGCCCCGCAGACUAUCAUACUCUUGAUUGGUCUCUAGAGUGUGCAUAAAUUUGCUAUUCAACGAACGCACAGUAUCCAUGGUUGUUACCGUCUGUGUUGCCAAUAAGGCAGCUAUGGAAACUAUCACCUUGGGAAGACCUCCACACUUCAUAAUAAGUUCUUGUAGCUCGUCAUUUUGAUGGCCAAUCAAACCGGACGAUGGAUUGUUCCUCUGCACCUGUUGUUCAAAAGAUUUAGCAUUAAUUAACUUCAGAGUUUUGAGUUGCAUAAUAUAGACCAAGUAACCUUCCUUUGUACAUAUAUGCAUCAUAUAUGCAAUAUUGUUUUUUGCAAAUAGAAGCGAAAUAAUUCAUCCGUGCAUGUUGUGUUAUCCCAUAAGAUGCCGGUUAUGGCUGAUCCAAAUACUUUAACCGCUCAACCAUCCGGGUCUAAUGGUCCAGAUUCUAUGUUUAGCACAACAAAAAAUACCCAAUACCCCUAGAUUCGCUAGAAAUUACCCACAACUGCCACCAGUUAGAAGGCUCCGUUGCCUCCUUCUGAAUGGCAUGUCGAUGCGCUCGUUCCCAAACGUGUAUUGCACAUGUUCGGUUACUAGACGUGAACAAGAAAUUAUUUUUAUGUUUCUGUAUGAUGACAAGUAUCCAUAAUUAAAUAAAUCUAUGUCGUUCAGAUAACACACACAAAAAUAUUCCUCUAACUUUGCUAACCAAUAGAAACAAACUAUUUAGAAUUUUUGGUCAAAAUGAUAUCAUCAAUUCUGAGAAUGGUGAUUUCAUAUUUAUUUUAUUCACAUGAAAAUACAAUAUUAAAUUCCAAGAUGCAUGUUAAAUACUCUGUUUACAUCUACUGAUAUUAUGGUUGUUUGUUACUUACUUUCCUAUUCAUAAUAUUUGCACCUUGAAAAGCCAACUCAAUGUUUUGUAUAUUUUGAAAUAUAUAUUAAAAUAUCAUAGAUAUACCACAUAGUAAAAUACUUGUACGUGAAAGUAAUAUGGCUAUUUGUAAAAAGACACAAGAUCAUAAAUGGAACAAUUAGAACUGAUAUUUUAUAGUUCGCAAAUAGUCAUACGUCUUUUUGCAAGUGGACACUAGAGAUUCCGGUCAAAGUUGAACACCCACAUUUGUUUUGAAUAUUUUUUUCAUACAUAUAUUUGAAAUGCUUAGAGUUUCAAGGCUGCAUUUCUGGAUAAUAUAAAUUACAGAUGCACGAGUAAUAAUGUACCAUGCAUGAAGUGUUAAAUUUGUCAGAACAUUUGUUUUUCGAAAGGAGGGGUAACCCGCUAGCUCUGCAUCAAUUGAUGCACACAACCAUUUUACUAUUGCAAAUUUAGAUCAUCCAAGAUGUCAUAAAAGGAUCUUAACCAGUUGAAUCAUUAAUUAUGUGAGAAUAUGCAGCAAACUACCGAAGUAGCAUAGUUCCCUCAAAGGAUAUUUUUUAUAGAUAAUAUGGCUUAUAAGAAAACACACCUCUUUCCUGAACAGAUCCAUGGCGGCACCAGCUUCUAGACCUUUCACAUUAAAGACUUGAUCUUCAUUAUUUGUGCAAUGUGUGGCCACACUAGCUUCUGUUGUAAUAACAAUGAUAACACUUGCAGAAGAUCUAGUCACCAAGGUAGCCUGUAUCAAGUCCCAGUCUUCUUUGGACCGGAGAUUAUUAAUAACAAUGAGAUACUUAUGUUUGCUCAGAAGCUGACGGCACUCUUUAAUUGGGUCUUUUUCUGAAUGAUGAUCCAAAAGUAAGCUUCGGGAGAAAUCCCUUAGAUUGAAUGGAUAUGAUAUAUCCACCCAACAGUAUUUUUCAAACUGGCCACGAAGCAUUCUUUCAUAAUACAAGUUUUCAACAAGAGCUGAUUUUCCAACACCAGCUAUUCCCCAAACAGAUAUAACUGGGGAACUUUUGAAACGUGCCCCAGCUGUAUAACUGCGGAGCUCAUUCAUUUCCGACUCGCGUCCAACAAGAGGGUUAUUUUCCAUCCAGUCAUUGACAACUCUCUUACUGGCGGACGUAAGUUUCUCUAAAGGUGAACUUUGGCUCACUUUAGACAACAUUAGCUUCUCUUCUUCGUCUCCAUAAUAGCGAGAACCCUACAGGUGGUGAGUGUUAACAACUUAACAUGCAAAGACAGCAAAGGUACAUAUAUGAAAUUCAUUGAAGUACUAAUUUCCUAGACAAGCUAUCCAAUCUAGCGGGAAAAAACUAUUUGCGGUAAAUAUCACAAGAAAAGGAGUAUUGCUGGAAUUGAAUGGUUUUCUAACUCAGUUAAAAAUGUCAACUAGCUUGUGUUAAAUUGUGCAUUUCAACAUGAUUGUUUACAAAACUAGAAUUGUCCCCAACAACUACGCAGGAAACAUUCUUAAUCGUAUAUAACUUUUGAACUCUAUGAUAUAUUAAGCUGUUUACAUAAUCUCAAACUACGACUGAUUGUGCGUCUAUACAUGAUAUUAGACCAAUAUGCAAAAUUGAAUAUUUUAUAGUGGGCCAAUUGGCCAAUGGUUUAUAACUGCAUUGGCAAGUUGUCAAACUCUAAUGAAUAAGGCAUGCACUCAUUUCAAAAUUGAAUAAGGCGCACACGCAUUUUAAAAUUGAACUUUGACAUAAAUUACACUCAUGAAAGUCUCACAGAGGUAUAAUUAUGAAAAUCUAGGGAUUGCAGUCUACUAAUAAAAGAGGGCCCACCAAUUUGAUGGCCUGAUAUUUUGUUUUCGCUUAAAUUUGCAGGGACCAUCUUAUCCUUUUAUGAUCCAUAAUGUUUUAGUAUAUAAUAGAUUAAUUGGUGUUCUCGUUGACUAAACACUAAUGUAUCAUUUUGAUAAACAAAAACGUUUGUUCCAUGUAUAAUAUAAUUAUUUCAAACAUUAACAUUUUAGAGUUUCAUGUCAAGAAAAAUAAUAAAUUCACUAGUUAAAAAUGUUUUACUGGAAGUAAUUGAUGAUGCUUUGUGCUUAACUAAUUACCUCCUUGAAGAAGGCACAAACCGAGUGCUCAGGGGAGAACUGCUUGAGCUCCAGUGGUUGGUAAGGGUGUCCGAUGCACAAGCUUGCGAUGUCAAAUUGCUGGGUGGACACGAUGAUCCAGCUACCAUUUUUUUUGUCAGGAAGAAAUGUCCUGACAGCAUCCCAAUCUACCAUUUCAGUCAGGUUCUCCAAGACAACGAGGUAAAUCUUGGUGUUGACUUCUUCCAGAAAUUCCUUGAGGAGAUCUUCUUGCUUCGCCUCCAUUUUCUUGAGGACAAGUACGCCUACAUCUGUACCCUCCAAUUUUUCAGCGUAAGCCUUUGUGGAGUAGACCUGAGCCAUGAAACGCCGCACGAACUCAUGGGGGUCAAAAGGAUGCAUCAGCUUGACCCAGGCACGGCACACAAAUUUCUUGCUGAUUUCUGGAUCAUUGUACGCCUUCCGGAUGAUGGAAAUCGUCCCAAGAUCUCCACUUGUUCCCCACACGGAGAUCACCUGAAGGUGAGGGUCGGUAUUGUCCUUGUUGGUGAUCAACUGUGUGAGAUCCCCCAAGCCUUGCUGCUUCCUCGCUGUGUCCCUCGACUCAGCAAGCAUGUUGAAUGCUGGCGCACCGAGUGAGGCGCCAGGCGCAGGCAUGUGGUGCUGCAUGACGGCUGCCUUGGAGCCAGAGUCGCUGAUGAGGUUGUAGCGCGAGUUCCUGGUACUCACAUCAUUCACCCUCGCCUUGAGCUGCUCGAUUUCGCCGACAGCCUCAUCAAGCGACAGUUGAGAUGGUGGCAGCCCUAUGCACCAAGGCGGGAGCAUGCGCCACCACCAACCAGUCUUGGGGUCGAGGUGGACAACAAACUCGAUGCAGUCCUCCACAUCGUAGGCCAGCUCGCGGACCUGCCGCACCCAGGUCAUCACCACCUUGUUCUCCACGCGCUCCGCGGUGGCGACGUUGAGAAAUGAGUGCAUCAUUUCAAACUCGCCUGUGAUGAACACCAGGUCGCGCUGCGCGCUCUCCCGGAGCUGGGCCUCCUCCCCGAUAGCCGCCUGGGCCUUGGUCAGCGCGCCCUCCACCACCGACUUGGCCAACCCAACAACCAGGUCCGCCAUGGCCGCAGCCUGGUACCUCUCAAGAUUCUAUGUUUCUUGUGGGUGAUGCUAGUGCUUGGUGGGGUUGUUGUGCAUCGACUUGUGGAAGAUGGCAACCUUAAAGGGGGAGAUGGCUAGCUUGCAAGACCUGUUGGCCAGAUCUGUGAGAUGUGGUCAAGUCUUCCCCGAUCCACUGUAAAUUAAAUUAAUGUACUUGCCUGGUAACAGCUAAUGGCUCUCUGGAGCCAAUAUUUUUCAACGGUUACUCGUACAACUCUGUGAUUUUUUAAUCUUAAUAUCUUCACAAAAACCGUACAGUAUAUGAUUAUCUGUAUUACGCAUGCAGGAGGCCUUGGAGUUGUUCAAGAAGACCAAGGACCACCACAAACUCCCUUUCGAAGAUGUCAAAAAAAGGCACAAGUUUCUGUAAUCGUGAUAGAAUAUGAAAGGGUUAGUUCCCCGCGGUAUCGAUCUGUGCAUCAUAUGUUAUGGC